ACACACACACAAACGCAAAGAAAGGUUCGAGAUUUGCCGGCAAUGGUGUCUUGCCUCGGAUCUCCGAUGCCAGUGGCGCUCUCCUGCUUCUGGAUUUAGCGUCUUGUUCGAGCUUUAUUAUUUGUUGUUUUCGUUUGGUUUGAGAUUUUCCUCGUUCUUUUCGUAAGAUUGCUCAUAGAGAUGGCGAAUCCGCGAUGGAAUUCUCAGACAAAUGGAUAUGACACUGCGAUUUGGGCCGCCAAGAUCGCUUUUUGCUUCCUCGGCAUCCUCUCCUUCGGCGCAGCAGCCAGGGCCGCCAUCCCUGCUGCUGCCGGGGCGCUGGCCUCCGCGGUCCCUGGCUUCUGGGAGUUCCUUCGCUCUUGGCUCGCGCCUCCGUACCUGUUCAUCGCCGUCCAUUUGAUCAUCCUUGUCAUCUGGAAGCUCUCCGAUCAGAAGCAGGAGCAUCACCAACACCGCGAGCAAUGGGCGGCGGCUGAGCGCGUGGCGGAGCCUGAGAAUCCUGCAAAGGUCAAAUCUUUCGAGCCUUUGCAUAUUUCUCCCGUGCCCAUUCUCCGGAAACCCUCGCCGGAGAUGUGGCGCGACGAGAUCUCGCCGUCUCUGACAACACCGGCUGUCCGGGCGCCGGAUCCCGGUGAAUUCUCGACGUCCGACGCGUCGUGCCUGACGACGGAGUCCGGAGAGAUUUCCACCGCUUCGUCAGCGUCUGCGGUCAAGAAGAGCGUCGAACCGGAGUCCAUGAGCAGCCUUACGGUGAAGAAAGAUGAGGACGAGGCAGCGGCGGCGGCCACUGCGGCUGGGACAGCGAAUGACUCGAUGGAGGCAACAUGGAAGGCGAUCAUGGAGAAGUCGCCUCGGGCAGCGGAGGUACCGCCACCGACGGCGUCGUCCGGGCGGGGCUCGAGGCAACCGGAGGCCCCUCCCUCAUCUACGGGUCAGGACGAGUUGAACAGGCGAUGCGACGAUUUCAUCAAGAAGAAUUACGAGCAGAUCCGAUUCCUCAGCGGCCGGCGGCUGUAGUUGGAGAUGCAAAUUACUCGUUACGCUAGUCUUCAUCUCUUCUCUUUCUCAACUUAAUCUUCUUUAUAGCUCGUUAAGCCCUUGUAAUGAAAGCUUUUAGUGUAGGGAGACUGCUGUGCUGCUAAAAAUCCUAUUUUUAAGGUACUUCUGAUAUGCUGAACUUAUUCUUGACUUGGUGCUGCUGAUUGGACUGGCUGGUGACUUGUGCUGAUAGAUGGGAUGUUUGGUGGUCUUCAGUCUCACCUUUUGGUCUUCUGUUUGGUACUCUAUUUAACUCACUGUUCAAUACAUGUUUGUUAAGUGAUGGUACAGGAGUAUAUCCUGACAAUGAUCUGGAGUUCAUAUAAGCUUUUUACUUGCCA